GGGUCAGUAGGUUGGUCGUGCCACCGGUACGUACUGGUCUCACUGAUUCCUCCUUCCUGAAGAACCGUAAUGCCAUUAAUUUGGUGCUGCGGGGAAACAGGACUGUUACUUUGAAAAAAUUAGGGUGUUUAAAGCAAGCUAACGCUUGAAUACAUUAGCAUGGAAUAAUGAAAUAGGACGAUCGAUCCUAUUUUGUUGGUUUCUAGGAUUGACGUA
rnacentral:rRNA from 1 species